GGAGUUGUGGCUCAAUGGUAGAGCACUUGCCUGGCAUGUGUGAGGCCCUGGGUUCGAUCCUCAGUACCA
rnacentral:tRNA from 1 species